rnacentral:lncRNA from 1 species
GGGGACAUUUUUCAGUGAAAUCUGCAUGGGAUUACCUGCGAAGAAGAGACAUUUCAAGGAUAGCUUACAAGAUGAUAUGGGUCAAAGGCUUACCAUUCAAGAUAUUUUUCUUCCUGUGGAAGGUGUGAAAAGUCAAACUGCCACUUGAUGAUUUCUUGCGUAGAAUAGGAUACUUCAUGGCAUCUAAAUGUUGGUGUUGUGCAGAUCCUAAGGAGGAGUCUUUAGUACAUUUGUUCUUCACAUCCAAUGCAGCUACGACUGUUUGGAGUUACUUCCUGUGGAGAGCAGGAAUUGCAUUAGAAGGUUUGUCUUUACAACAAGCAAUUACAAAGUGCUGGACGACAUCAGUUGUACCUAGAUUAAAGCCGUCUUGCAAGCUUUACCUUCAUGCAUUGUAUGGGAGUUAUGGAAAAGAAGAAACAGUUUGAAAUAUGGAGAAGCAGUGUCAGUAAGCAGAGUUAUUUACCAGGUGUCAAGUCCAACUGAAAAAGCUAGGACUACAUGUGCCUCACAAGUGGCUGGACUUGCUGACAAUGAUGGGGCAAUACACACCUCCAUUGAAAUAUGAUAAAGUGCUAUGGGAAUUUCCUCCAACAGGCUGGAUCAAAGUGAAUACUGAUGGAGCAUGCAGAGGGAACCCAGGGAGGAGUUCAAUUGGUUUUUGUUUAAGAGAUGAGAUAGGUGAUUUGAUAUAUGCAAAAGGAAGAGAAAUUAAGUAGGGUUCUAACAAUGAAACUGAGGCGACAACAAUAGUAGAGGCAAUGAGAAUGUGCAAAGCAAUGAACCUCAACAAUGUUUGGCUUUAGAACAGAUUCAAUGAUGCUUCAAAAGAUCAUAGAUGGACAAUGGAAACCACUCUGGAAUAUUAUAGAUGCAGUGGAGGAAAUUAACAGACUCAAAGUGGGGUGUAAUUUCAAGAUAUCUCACAUUUUCAGAGAGGGAAACAAACUAGCAGACCACCUUGCAAAUUAUGCACUUAACAGUGGCAACAUAGAGAGUUAUGAUUUCUGGGAACUUGAUGCGUUGAGCAGAAGGUUGGUAAAU